UACGGGGGGGGCAAGCGUUGUUCGGAAUUACUGGGCGUAAAGGGCGCGUAGGCGGCUCGCUAAGUCGGAUGUGAAAACUCUGGGCUUAACUUGGAGAGGCCGUUCAAUACUGUGAGGCUAGAGGGUGUCAGAGGGAAGUAGAAUUCCUGGUGUAGCAGUGAAAUGCGUAGAUAUCAGGAGGAAUACCCGUGGCGAAGGCGGCUUCCUGGGGCACCACUGACGCUGAGAAGCGAAAGCUAGGGGAGCAAACGGG
rnacentral:rRNA from 1 species